rnacentral:rRNA from 1 species
GAGGAAUAUUGGACAAUGGGUGAGAGCCUGAUCCAGCCAUCCCGCGUGCAGGAAGACGGCCUUAUGGGUUGUAAACUGCUUUUAUACUAGAAUAAACCACCUUACGAGUAGGGUGUUGAAGGUACAGUAUGAAUAAGCACCGGCUAACUCCGUGCCAGCAGCCGCGGUAAUACGGAGGGUGCAAGCGUUAUCCGGAUUUAUUGGGUUUAAAGGGUCCGCAGGCGGACUUAUAAGUCAGGGGUGAAAUCCGGCAGCUUAACUGUCGAACUGCCUUUGAAACUGUAGGUCUUGAGUAAGAAUGAAGCAGCUGGAAUGUGUGGUGUAGCGGUGAAAUGCAUAGAUAUCACACAGAACACCGAUAGCGAAGGCAGGUUGCUAAUUCUCAACUGACGCUGAGGGACGAAAGCGUGGGGAGCGAAC